CACGUAGGGUGCGAGCGUUGUCCGGAAUUAUUGGGCGUAAAGGGCGCGUAGGCGGUGCGGCAAGUUGGGAGUGAAAUCCCUGGGCUUAACCCAGAGGCUGCUUCCAGAACUGCUGUGCUUGAGUGUGGGAGAGGCGCGUGGAAUUGCAGGUGUAGCGGUGAAAUGCGUAGAUAUCUGCAGGAACACCCGUGGCGAAAGCGGCGCGCUGGACCACUACUGACGCUGAGGAACGAAAGCUAGGGGAGCAAACAGG
rnacentral:rRNA from 1 species